GCUGUCGUCAGCUCGUGUCGUGAGAUGUUGGGUUAAGUCCCGCAACGAGCGCAACCCUCGUUCUAUGUUGCCAGCACGUAGUGGUGGGGACUCAUAGGAGACUGCCGGGGUCAACUCGGAGGAAGGUGGGGAUGACGUCAAAUCAUCAUGCCCCUUAUGUCUUGGGCUUCACGCAUGCUACAAUGGCCAGUACAAAGGGCUGCGAGACCGCAAGGUGGAGCGAAUCUCAAAAAGCCGGUCUCAGUUCGGAUCGCAGUCUGCAACUCGACUGCGUGAAGUCGGAGUCGCUAGUAAUCGCAGAUCAGCAUUGCUGCGGUGAAUACGUUCCCGGGCCUUGUACACACCGCCCGUCACACCACGAAAGUUGGUAACACCCGAAGCCGGUGGCCCAACCCUCUGGGAGGGAGCCGUCGAAGGUGGGAUCAGCGAUUGGGGUGAAGUCGUAACAAGGUAGCCGUACCGGAAGGUGCGGCUGGAUCACCUCCUUUCUAAGGAGCACACUGCUCGGCCUCGUGUUCGUCUCGAGGUCGGGGAGCUCCCACGUCGAUCACUGGUUAGUUGGCAGUCCGGAACCAUUCCGACCCCUCCACUCCGCUUGCGGAGCGAGCAGGCACCACCGGAACCCGGAUCGCUUGACGUCACUCUUCCGUUUUGAGGGAGCGACCCUCGCAGGACCUCGUGUCCUGAUGGGAAGUGCGCUCGAACUUGUCGCCGGUAGCCGCGCAUGCGGCGCCGGCGAUGACCGCGAGCGCUCCCGGGACCACUGGUCCCGCAUGGCCCUUGAGAACUGCAGAGCGAGCACGAGCAUCUAUUUACUUAGAGAUAUGUGAACAGAAGAAACGAACUCCCAAGCUACAAAGAGCCAACGGUGGAUGCCUUGGCGCCAGAUGCCGAUGAAGGACGUGGACGGCUGCGAUAAGCCACGGGGAGCUGCCUAUCAAGCUUCGAUCCGUGGAUCUCCGAAUGGGGAAACCCGG
rnacentral:sRNA from 1 species